CGAUAUUGAAGCGAAACGUAAAACACUACCCUGACACAAUGAAACAAAACAACAUGACCAACAUGACCAAGGAAGUUUGCAGAACAACCUAACAAAUAGAAACAACAAUGGCCUAAUCCUUUAUUAAAAACCGAACGCUAAUGGAGGUGGGUAGCCGGCCUUUCUUGUCUUUGCGGUGGAUAGGCCGGUAAUCCAUCACCGAAGCCUAGUUCCUUACAUGGUUGGGCGAGUCGCUUCAUGCGAACUCGCUUGUUCUUCGAGAUCCUGAUGAUGAUUCGGUUUCUGGACCUGGAGUGCACCUAGCUCAUCUCCACCGACUCCACCAAGACCAGCGUUGUUGAUUGGGACAGGGUAGCCGUUGACGAGGGCACCGCAAAUCCUUGGGUCGUUGCCGUCGGGGGUCGGACAGUCCCAUCGCCGACCUGGUGCUUACUGCCGCCGGCUUCGGCUUUCCUUCCAGCGAUCGUUGCGCUGAUGUCUGCCGAUGCUGCUGUCAGUCCAAGGUUCUUCGGCAUGGUUGGUGAGUAAAUACGAUGGGUAUGACAUGAUGAAUCUCACAGAGGAGACGAAAACCACACAAGAUUGGCGGCGAAAUCUCACAGAGGAGACAAACCCUAAAUUAGGGCAAGAGGAGAGGCUAAGGGUUCAAGAAAAAACUGAGAAGAUUAUAUCGAUGAAUAAGUAUUCUAAUUACGUAAUGUUUGUAAAUUCUGAAUCAAAUUCUAUCAUUUUUGUUUUGUUGUUAAGGGCUCAUAGUUUUCGGGUUUAUAAAACCAUGAAUUUAUUGGAUAAUGAAUUAAUUUGAAUAAGACUAUUUAUUUAGUUUGUAAAUUAUAUAGACUUUUCGGUUGGGUGAGUUUUGAAAUUUUUACCUAAAUUACUUAUCGGGAUAGAUCAUAAUUGUUGAGUUAAAUUAUUGAUUGAUUUAGGUUGGAUUGAGACUGGACUGAGUCUAAUAAAUUUUUUUUGAAACAUGAAUAAGUUUUCUCUAAGCAAGUAUGUCUUUUGUUUUCCAAUUACUAUGCACUGUCGUUUAAAUUGGAUCAAAACUAUAAUCCAUAUAGUUGAUAUCAUAUGAAUAUCGCUUUUUUUACAUCAUGGCUGCUCAACACAAAAGUUAAAUAGUGUUUUGAUGGUACGAAUUAUAAGUUUAAUGAUUUAUAUAUGAAUGUUGAAUAUUAUAUGGUUGUUAUGUUAGACGAGGGUAAAUAUUAGAUGGAAUCAAAUAAUUCCCAUCCAAAAUACAUAACAAAUAGAGAUAGGCACAGGCUUUGCCGAGUUGGAUGCUGUAAGGCACGACGGGCACCUUGCAUGGUGGAAAAGAAAGAAGAAUCAAAUAAAGAGUAAAGAGCACUUAAUAGAUAGGAUUAGGAACCUGAGUCCUGAACCUGAAUUAUUAUGUUAUCUUUGGGUUUAAAUAUAACGACACGUAGCUGGCAUCACAAAGCAGUCCUUAAGCAUGUGCGCCAAAGUCAAAAACACACUUACCACAAAAUUCGACACAUUAGUCAUUACUAAAGUACGGCUUAAUAUCUAACUAUUAGGUUUGAUAAUUUGGUCAUCAACUUUUUGGAAGUAACCCACAUACCACUAGCUCAUUUCAGUUGUAGCAAAAAGGUUAUUCCGUCUACUCCCCAUCCAAAACCUACAUUAAGUUGACUAAUCAACAUGCCAAUUCAUCAUUUACGUACGCAUCACCAUUUAUCAAGUCGCAUAUUAUAUCCUAAAUCUAAAAAGUGAUAAAAUAGGUGGCAAUGACAUGACAAUGAUGACACGGACAAAAAUGAUGCAUUGACAACUAAACAAAGAUUUUGGAUGUUGAAGUGACGAAAUAAUCACAUUAUUGUAACCAAGAUAUCUUAAUAUAUAGUAUGUAUGUUAAUUUUCAAAAGUUAGUGAUUAUGUUGUUAUAAACCCAAUAAGUUGAUGACCACAAUAGACAUUAAGCCGAAAAAAAGAGUUGAAGAUACGAAUUAGAAGCAAAAUAAAAUCAUUAACAACAAAAGAUGGCUUAUCUUCAUGGCUAAUCCUUAAGCUUUCAGUACCGAUUUGAAAAUCAUGCUUAUUGCAUGCAAAUUCAACACUAAUUAGUUGUAAAGUCGUCCUUAAAAGUGGCAUUUAUAGUUUUCUAAUUCCUUUCCCCCUCAGCGCCAAAAUAUAAAAUUAAAUCUGCAACACUGUUCCCACUUCCAUCAUUUCAAAUUCAAUUCAUCAACAUUUCUCAAUUUGAAUCCCUAAUCUAUAGACUCAGCAAAAUUGAUGGACAACGUACCAAGAGCCAACGCCGGUGCCAGCCAAGUUCCGGAACAAUUGCUGCUCAGAAUUCGAUCAGGCUUAGAGAGUGUGCUCCCUCGUUCAUCAAGCUCGAGCAU
rnacentral:lncRNA from 1 species